CUAAGGACUGGGUUGGGAACUACUACCAUAUAGAGAAUAGACCAUGUGUCCUCUUGCGCAACUAUGCCGAUGUAAAACACAUCACUGCACUGAGCUCCUGCAGUUUUGUUCUGUUCGCUUUUCAGCGUUUAUCUAAAAUAACGUGGAGGUAUGUUUGUGUGGAAAGCAUGUAAUUACGCGCAAUCAAGAUCAGACACUACCGCUUACCCUGUUUGCCUACUCGAUGUCCUGCGCUGCGUCCUGUAUCUCCGCCUGCAACGCAUCUAUAAAGUCCACAUCGGUGUUUCUCGCUGCGGCACAGAAAGGUCACCAGGAUGGUGCAGCGGUAAUCAGCUGAUGUCCAUUCCCCCAUGUGUGUGCCUGUUCGACAUUUCAGGAGGGCAGGAUGCAAAAUGAGCUCUCUCCGAACCUCAGGCAGCGUGUCUGAGAGUGGAUUGCUCUUGUGGCUGGGAGGAGGUUGCAGGUUCGAGGGCCCUGGACAGUAGUAGCUCAGCACCUUGCAGGACGUGUUUCAUUGCACACGGUGUUGACAUGGGCAGACAUACAGGUAGGGUUGGGCAACAUAAAGGAUAUCAACUUAUCGUUAUAUACAAAUUUUAAACAAUAAGGAAACGAGAAACUUCAAUAAACUGUUGCU